rnacentral:rRNA from 1 species
GACGAACGCUGACGGCGUGCUUAACACAUGCAAGUCGAAGGGAGUGGCGAACGGGUGAGUAACACGUGAGUAACUUGCUCUUUUCUUUGGGAUAAGCCUGGGAAACUGGGCAUAAUACUCGAAGGUUUGGGAUGGGCUCGCGGCUUAUCCGCUUGUUGGUGGGGUAAUGGCGUACCAAGGCUUUGACGGGUAGCCGGCGUGAGUGGGUGGUCGGUGACACAGAGACUGAGAUACGGCCCAGAGGCCGCAGGGGGGGGGCAGUGGGGGAAAUGGACGAAAGGACGAAAGACUGAUGCAGCGACGUCGAAGGGGGUUUGAGGGCCUUCGAGUUGUAAACUCCGUUCGGACGAAGAAUGGUAGUGAGUAAAGAAGCGCCGGCUAACUACGUGCCAGCCGCCGCGGUAAUAC